AAACCCGAACUCGGUUCUCCACGAUACCAUUUCUUUAAGCUGAAUAAUACUAAAUAAUAUUACAUUCGAACUUAAUUUACAUACAUCAAAGUUUACUUCCCCAGGUACGUGACCUUCAAAUACAUUCCUUACAAUACCUGACAAUAGAUUCCAUUGUCUUACUAACUAUAACCAUUAACUCAUAAUAUAAACUCAUUCGAACAGCUUUCCUUUCCCCUUGUUCGUGCCUGAGCCUUCAGGUUGCUCAUACAUAACUGAAAACAUUUAAUUUAAGCAAGGAUGAG
rnacentral:lncRNA from 1 species